rnacentral:rRNA from 1 species
ACGGGAGGCAGCAGUGGGGAAUAUUGCACAAUGGAGGAAACUCUGAUGCAGCGACGCCGCGUGAGUGAAGAAGUAUUUCGGUAUGUAAAGCUCUAUCAGCAGGGAAGAAAAUGACGGUACCUGACUAAGAAGCACCGGCUAAAUACGUGCCAGCAGCCGCGGUAAUACGUAUGGUGCAAGCGUUAUCCGGAUUUACUGGGCGUAAAGGGAGCGUAGGUUGUCUGGCAAGCCAGAGGUGAAAACCCGGGGCUCAACCCCGAGGAUUGCCUUUGGAACUGUUGGGCUAGAGUGCAGGAGGGGUGAGUGGAAUUCCCAGUGUAGCGGUGAAAUGCGUAGAUAUUGGGAGGAACACCAGAGGCGAAGGCGGCUCACUGGACUGUAACUGACACUGAGGCUCGAAAGCGUGGGGAGCAAACAGGAUUAGAUACCCUGGUA